rnacentral:rRNA from 1 species
CGAACGGGUGAGUAACACGUAGGUGACCUGCCCCGAAGUGGGGGAUAACUGCUGGAAACGGUAGCUAAUACCCCAUGUGGUCCGUCAUUCGGUUGGCGGAUUAAAGCUCCGGCGCUUCGGGAUGGGCCUGCGGCCGAUUAGCUUGUUGGUAGGGUAAUGGCCUACCAAGGCGAUGAUCGGUAGCUGGUCUGAGAGGAUGGUCAGCCACACUGGCACUGAGAUACGGGCCAG